rnacentral:rRNA from 1 species
UUUCCUACGGGGGGCAGCAGUGGGGAAUAUUGCACAAUGGGGGAAACCCUGAUGCAGCGACGCCGCGUGAGUGAAGAAGUAUUUCGGUAUGUAAAGCUCUAUCAGCAGGGAAGAAGAGAGACGGUACCUGAGUAAGAAGCCCCGGCUAACUACGUGCCAGCAGCCGCGGUAAUACGUAGGGGGCAAGCGUUAUCCGGAUUUACUGGGUGUAAAGGGAGCGUAGACGGCUGAACAAGUCUGGAGUGAAAUCCCGGGGCUCAACCCCGGAGCUGCUCUGGAAACUGUAUAGCUAGAGUACUGGAGAG